rnacentral:rRNA from 1 species
GACGAACGCUGGCGGCGUGCUUAAUACAUGCAAGUCAACUGAACUUAAGGUAGUAAUAUCUUAAGAGAGGUGGCGCACGGGUGAGUAACACGUAGGUAAUCUGCCUUUAGGUCUGACAUAACCUAUCGAAAGGUAGGCUAAUAUCAGAUGAUGCAGCGGCUCGACAUCGAGACAGUUGUUAAACCUUCGGGGCCUAAAGAUGAGCCUGCGUCUGAUUAGGUAGNGGCGGAGUAAAAGCCCACCAAGCCUGCGAUCAGUAGCUGGUCUGAGAGGAUGAUCAGCCACACUGGAACUGAGACACGGUCCAGACUCCUACGGGNGCAGC